UGCCCUUGGAGGCUCUGGCCUCCCUCGGGUGCCCAGGGUCACCAGGCUUGUGCAACUGUGCCUGGCUUGCUCGCAGAUAAACCAGCCAGAUUCAGAAAUGGCUCCACAUAAACACUUCCAUGAGCCUGUCUCCCUUGGCGAGCCGCACCUGCCUGUAGGGCUUCCUCUACUGAGCUCCCUGCGUAAAUGGCACAACCGCAGCUUCACUGCAGCUCUCACCUAGCCCUGCCCCUCAAGCCCAGGGCCCGAGGAAGGAAGGACCGACGGACGGCUUUCUUCUGUGACUGUCACGAUCCUUGAUGCUGCUCUUUCCUGGCCCAUGUCACCCAUGUCCACCCCAGGGUACCAUCUUAAAAUUAGACCCCAGGGAAAUGGGACUG